rnacentral:rRNA from 1 species
CUGAAACUCGCCUCUUUGAAGUCGGAAUCGCUAGUAAUCGCAGAUCAGCAUGUUGCGGUGAAUACGUUCCCGGGUCUUGUACACACCGCCCGUCAAACCAUGAGAGUCACCAACACCCGAAGUCCGCUUUGGCGGCCUAAGGUGGGGGAGAUGAUUGGGGUGAAGUCGUAACAAGGUAAC